rnacentral:rRNA from 1 species
CCUACGGGAGGCAGCAGUGAGGAAUAUUGGUCAAUGGACGGAAGUCUGAACCAGCCAUGCCGCGUGCAGGAAGACGGCUCUAUGAGUUGUAAACUGCUUUUGUACAAGGGUAAACCUGAAUACGUGUAUUCAGCUGAAAGUACUGUACGAAUAAGGAUCGGCUAACUCCGUGCCAGCAGCCGCGGUAAUACGGAGGAUCCAAGCGUUAUCCGGAUUUAUUGGGUUUAAAGGGUGCGUAGGCGGAUUGAUAAGUUAGAGGUGAAAGGUCCCAGCUUAACUCGGGAACUGCCUCUAAUACUGUUGAUCUAGAGAGUAGAUGCGGUAGGCGGAAUGUAUGGUGUAGCGGUGAAAUGCUUAGAGAUCAUACAGAACACCGAUUGCGAAGGCAGCUUACCAAUCUAUAUCUGACGUUGAGGCACGAAAGCGUGGGGAGCAAACAGGAUUAGAUACCCGGGUAGUC